rnacentral:rRNA from 1 species
UACGGAGGGGGCUAGCGUUGUUCGGAAUUACUGGGCGUAAAGCGCGCGUAGGCGGAUCUGCAAGUCGGGGGUGAAAUCCCGAGGCUCAACCUCGGAACUGCCUUCGAUACUGCGGGUCUCGAGUCCGGGAGAGGUGAGUGGAAUUCCUAGUGUAGAGGUGAAAUUCGUAGAUAUUAGGAAGAACACCAGUGGCGAAGGCGGCUCACUGGCACGGUACUGACGCUGAGGCGCGAAAGCGUGGGGAGCAAACGGG